UGUUAGGUUAAUUAAGGCUUAUCUGUGC
rnacentral:piRNA from 1 species